UGCUUAUUGCACAUUUUCUCUGGAAUAGUCCUUGUGUCAAGCACUGGGGAUAUAGAUAUACACAAAACUUAAUCCCUUCUUUAAAGAUUUUAGUAUCUAGGAAGCAAGAUUGUACCCUGGUGCCUACACUGUAUGGUAAGUGCACUGUCAGAACUGAGCCCAGAGUCAUGGGGAGACAGAAGGGAUCCUGGACUCCAUUUGUUUGUGGAAUGGAGAUCCCAUGGGGGCUAUGAUGCACUUGAAGAUGAGUCAGUAUUGACCAGGGUGACAGAGAGAGUCACCAAGAAGUGGAAGGGUAUGAUCAAAGGUGAAGAGCAAGGAAUGGCCUGGUUGGUCAGGAAACUACAAGUGGUUCCACAUUGCUGGAAUGUGUAUUUGGGGCAGGAAUGUUGAAAUGGAUAAUGAAGUUGGAGACUUCAGUAGAACAAGGUUGUGAAGAACUUUGGAAAGCAUAUUAAUGAGCUAUGUCUUUAUCCUAAACAUAAUGGAGAGUUACUAUAGCCUUUGAAGCAGAUGACUGUGAGUCUUACUCAUGGGAAGAUUAAGAAUAUGCCUUAAAUAACAUACCAGAAAAAUGUUACAAUGCAAACACUGCUAGUCUGAAUGUGGGAACCUAGACUGGGUUGCACUUCUGGGUCUGCUAUAUGGAUUGUCUCAGGGAACUCAGCAAGUCCUCUUAUCCUCUGAACUCAGAAUUCUCCCUGUAUAACAAGGGGUAUAGUAUCAAUCAUUACAAGGAUCCUGAAGAGCAACGCCAUGAUUUGGCAUUACCCUGGGUUUCUUGUGAGAAAAUAUAUCUGCGUUUGCCAAGGCAGUAUUUGCCUCACAACACGUUGGUGGACUUCUGUUUUUUCUGUGUCCUGCAUUACAAAAUAACACAAGUCCUCUAAAUUACCUGAAGUCUGGGCUACAUUGGCCCAUGAAGCUCCCUUUUCUUUGCUAUUUCUAUCAAUUAUCAUUACUUAUUUUCUUAUGAAGCUUGUUGUGGCUACUGUAAGACAGGUCCCUAAAGAGGAGUCUUGAAGACUAAAUAUGGAAGCAUAUAGCCUCUGAAACCCAUGUCUCAGUGAGUCCACUCAUUAUUUAAGGAGGGCCCCCGUGUCCAUUCUUUCUCUAUAUGGGGUAUUUCUUAGUAGAAGAAAGCACAGCUCUGCUUCCUCUUUCAUGUGCAUUCCUGACCACACUACCUCCUUCCUCUUGCAUCCUUCCUUUAAGAUGACUGCCUGUGUUCUCAUUGCAGAGCUCCUCUGAUAAGGCAUCCAUUCUGGCCAUUCUUCAGGUCCUUGGAGAUCUGCUUUCUGUUGGCACGGACAAGAGGAUUCAUUACAUGAUUAGCAAGGGCGGCAGUGAAGCCCUUCUGCAGACCCUGGUGGACACUGUGAGGACUGAGUCUCCUGACUACGACAUCCUCCUGCCUCUAUUCCGGCUGCUGGUCAAAGUUGGCCUACGAGAUAAACAGUUUGGACAGAAGGCACUGGAAUUGGAAGCACUUGAUGUGACAUUGAUUCUGGCCAGGAAAAACCUGUUCCAUAGCCAGAACCUGCUGCACUGUCUCUGGGCUCUGCGUGUUUUUGCUUCCAGCGGUAAGUGACGCUAUUGUGGACCACUGGGAUGUGGCUGGGAUGCCUGGAAACCAUGUGGGGGUUUGGUGGAGUGAAAAUGUGAGUGGAGGAUAUAUGUGGUCCCAAUCAUAUAAAUAAAGGAACCUGACAAUCCAGAGCCCAUGGAGGUAAGUUGUUUCUUCAUCUCUUACUUAGCCAGCUGGAGCUCUUGAGCCAUUUCCUAGAGAUAGAUUUUGAUAUUGGUUUUCCCCAAGAGUAACCUAUUACAGCAUGCCAUGUUUCUGUAUUAGUGCUAUCAGGUGAAGAAGACCCAUGACAGAAGAAAGGCAGACUUUCUUUAGUUCUUAUCAUAUCCAAGACCCAGUGUUAUGUGUU